rnacentral:rRNA from 1 species
CAUACGGGUGGCAGCAGGGAGGAAGAGGGGGCAAGGGGCGCGAGCCUGAACCAGCCAAGGAGCGUGAAGGAUGACUGCCCUACGGGUUGUAAACUUCUUUUAUAAAGGAAUAAAGUGAGGCACGUGUGCCUUUUUGUAUGUACUGUAUGAAUAAGGAUCGGCUAACUCCGUGCCAGCAGCCGCGGUAAUACGGAGGAUCCGAGCGUUAUCCGGAUUUAUUGGGUUUAAAGGGAGCGUAGAUGGGUUGUUAAGUCAGUUGUGAAAGUUUGCGGCUCAACCGUAAAAUUGCAAUUGAUACUGGCAGUCUUGAGUACAGUUGAGGUAGGCGGAAUUCGUGGUGUAGCGGUGAAAUGCUUAGAUAUCACGAAGAACCCCGAUUGCGAAGGCAGCUUACUAAACUGUGACUGACAUUGAUGCUCGAAAGUGUGGGUAUCAAACAGGAUUAGAUACCCCUGUAGUC